rnacentral:rRNA from 2 species
GAGCUUGCUCUUAUGAAGUUAGCGGCGGACGGGUGAGUAACACGUGGGUAACCUGCCCAUAAGACUGGGAUAACUCCGGGAAACCGGGGCUAAUACCGGAUAACAUUUUGAACUGCAUGGUUCGAAAUUGAAAGGCGGCUUCGGCUGUCACUUAUGGAUGGACCCGCGUCGCAUUAGCUAGUUGGUGAGGUAACGGCUCACCAAGGCAACGAUGCGUAGCCGACCUGAGAGGGUGAUCGGCCACACUGGGACUGAGACACGGCCCAGACUCCUACGGGAGGCAGCAGUAGGGAAUCUUCCGCAAUGGACGAAAGUCUGACGGAGCAACGCCGCGUGAGUGAUGAAGGCUUUCGGGUCGUAAAACUCUGUUGUUAGGGAAGAACAAGUGCUAGUUGAAUAAGCUGGCACCUUGACGGUACCUAACCAGAAAGCCACGGCUAACUACGUGCCAGCAG